CCUUUCACCCUUUUCUUUUUUUUUGCUUGACGAGUGGCGGACGGGUGAGUAAUGUCUGGGAAACUGCCUGAUGGAGGGGGAUAACUACUGGAAACGGUAGCUAAUACCGCAUAACGUCGCAAGACCAAAGAGGGGGACCUUCGGGCCUCUUGCCAUCGGAUGUGCCCAGAUGGGAUUAGCUAGUAGGUGGGGUAACGGCUCACCUAGGCGACGAUCCCUAGCUGGUCUGAGAGGAUGACCAGCCACACUGGAACUGAGACACGGUCCAGACUCCUACGGGAGGCAGCAGUGGGGAAUAUUGCACAAUGGGCGCAAGCCUGAUGCAGCCAUGCCGCGUGUAUGAAGAAGGCCUUCGGGUUGUAAAGUACUUUCAGCGGGGA
rnacentral:rRNA from 1 species